GACGAACGCUGGCGGCGUGUUUAACACAUGCAAGUCGAACGGAAAGGCCCCUUUGGGGGUACUCGAGUGGCGAACGGGUGAGUAACACGUGAGUAACCUGCCCUUGACUUCGGGAUAACUUCAGGAAACUGGGGCUAAUACCGGAUAGGAAUCCUUGCUGCAUGGUGGGGGUUGGAAAGCUUCGGCGGUUUUGGAUGGACUCGCGGCUUAUCAGCUUGUUGGUGGGGUAGUGGCUUACCAAGGCUUUGACGGGUAGCCGGCCUGAGAGGGCGACCGGCCACAUUGGGACUGAGAUACGGCCCAGACUCCUACGGGAGGCAGCAGGGGGGAAUAUUGCACAAUGGGCGGAAGCCUGAUGCAGCAACGCCGCGUGCGGGAGGACGGCCUUCGGGUUGUAAACCGCUUUCAGCAGGGGCGAAGCUUGUGGUGACGGUACCUGCAGAAGAAGCACCGGCUAACUACGUG
rnacentral:rRNA from 1 species